AUCUGAAAAAGGCAAACUUCUCCGAAAGGAAAGGACGCAAAGCCAUGAGCCUGCCUGCUGAAAAGCAAACGGUCGUCAGGUUGCCAGG
rnacentral:ncRNA from 1 species